AUUUAGCUGUGAUGGAACCAUCUGGAUUCUCUGUUCUUUCAUAAUCAUUCCAAACAGGGGAUGUCAAAGAUCGUUUCCUUUUAAUUUUAUUAACUUCAGGAUGUUCACAUUCUUUGGCUAAUAUUGUAGAAGAUACGCCGGUAGUAGUACUAGGUACACUAAGGUUUUGUAUAGGAGCAUCUUGAGAUAUAGGGAUAUGUGUAUCUCCAAUACUUUGAACGUCUAUUAUGUCUCUAACCACACCUAAUAUAAUUUACAUAAAGAUGAUUUAAGAAACAUAAAUAUCAGAAUUCAGAAACAUUAAAAUCAGAAAUAUAAAUUAAUAUCAGAAACAUAAAUUAAUAUAAGAAUAAGAACAUUAAUUUAUGCCACAAAAAAAUUAACAUUACCUUCAUCAUUCCCAUGUACAUUAGACAUUGAGUCUAUUGAAUUAGUAGACUGUUUAGGAAAUGAAAUCUGAAAAUGAAUAAAAAAUUAAAAAUGAAUAUUAGAAUAGAAUGAUGAUGAUGAUGAGGUGGAAGCCGUCGCAAUGUAAGAAUUCUAAAUCUUAAAUUCUAAACUCUAAACCAUUAAAGGGUUUUUGAAUUUUGAACCACUCUUCUGCUCUUUUAUCUAUCUUUCUAGAGCCUGGAAAAAGCUUCCAGUUGCUCAACAAUACUAAAAGGGCCUGUUUGAAUCUAGUAUCAUCCUACAAAGGCAAAGAAGCAAUAAAGUAAAAGAUGUGGCAAACAGAACAAAGAAAAUAUAUAAAUAAAUAAAAGACAACGAAAACGAUAAAUUUAGCAAGUUAAUGCUUAUGUCAAGUGUCAAUAAAGUAUAAACUAUAAACACUUCGAUUUUGCAACAUUUUAUUCAAUAAUGACCAGAAUAAAAGUGUUUUCCAAGUGUUCAAUCGAGAUGAGUGAACAAAAACCUCAUCGGCAAGAAUCUUAGAGCAAUUGAAGCAGACACAUCGCAUAAUCGCAAGAACAGUCUUCAAAAAUCUAUCUUUUAGUAGAUUAAAAGAAGAGGAAUUCCAGAGGAAGUUAAAAGAGAUGUUAAAUGAAGAAGAAAAGAAACGCAUACCAGUUGCUCAGCGUCUACCCUGGACCACUGAUGAGCCUGAGUGUCUGGUAAAGCCUGCAGUGAAAGAAACAAGUGAGCCCAUUGAUAUUCUUCUCCAUAGGGGAUUUUAUUGUGGACGAACCCUUACAGGAUGGAUUUAAAAGACCCGUACUAGAGGUCCGAGACUGUACAGAUUUCAACAUCUGAGUGAAAACUGAAAACGAAAGGAAAGAAAUCGCUAUUUCCGUAAACUGGAAACGAAAGGAAAGGAAAGGAAAGAAAACGAAACGAAAGGAAAGAAAACUGGAAACGAAAGAAAACUGAAAACAUCUGAGUGAAAACUGUACAGGCUAUUUCCGUUUUUUUUUGUAAAAACAGUAACAAAGUGAAAGGAAGAUGAGAAAACUUACCAGUUACCCAGAUGAGAAGGAGCCGAGUAACUUGUGUGCUUGCUGCUUGACUGCUUGUGCAAAAAAAAUGGAGGAAUGAGAAGAAAUCGCCAAACCCUAGCUAACUCUUAAGAAAGGAGAAUAACUGAAUAAGAAAUAAGAAUGAUUUUUUUAGGGAUUUAGAGAUUAGGUUUAGG
rnacentral:lncRNA from 1 species